AUACGUAGGGAGCGAGCGUUGUCCGGAAUUACUGGGGGUAGAGGGCGCGUAGGCGGGAGUGCAAGUCAGAUGUGAAAUACAUGGGCUCAACCCAUGGGACGCAUUUGAAACUGCAUUUCUUGAGUGAAGUAGAGGUAAGCGGAAUUUCUGGUGUAGCGGUGAAAUGCGUAGAUAUCAGGAGGAACACCGGUGGCGAAGGCGGCUUACUGGGCUUUUACUGACGCUGAGGCUCGAAAGCGUGGGGAGCAAACAGGAUUAGAUACCCUGGUAGUCCACGCUGUAAACGAUGAUUACUAGGUGUGGGGGGAAUGACCCCUUCCGUGCCGCAGUUAACAUAAUAAGUAAUCCACCUGGGGAGUACGGCCGCAAGGUUGAAACUCAAAUGAAUUGGCGGGG
rnacentral:rRNA from 1 species